UACGGAGGGUGCAAGCGUUAUCCGGAUUCACUGGGUUUAAAGGGUGCGUAGGCGGACAUGUAAGUCAGUGGUGAAAUCUCUGGGCUUAACCCAGAAACUGCCGUUGAUACUAUUUGUCUUGAAUAUCCUUGAGGUAGGCGGAAUAUGUCAUGUAGCGGUGAAAUGCUUAGAUAUGACAUAGAACACCGGUAGCGAAGGCAGCUUACUACAGGAUGAUUGACGCUGAGGCACGAAAGCGUGGGGAGCAAACAGG
rnacentral:rRNA from 1 species